CCUACGGGUGGCAGCAGUGAGGAAUAUUGGUCAAUGGGCUUACGCCUGAACCAGCCAAGUCGCGUGAGGGAAGACUGCCCUAUGGGUUGUAAACCUCUUUUGUCAGGGAGCAAUUGGCGCUAUGUGUAGCGUUAUCGAGAGUACCUGAAGAAAAAGCAUCGGCUAACUCCGUGCCAGCAGCCGCGGUAAUACGGAGGAUGCGAGCGUUAUCGGGAUUUAUUGGGUUUAAAGGGUGCGUAGGCGGAAUGCAAAGUCAGCGGUAAAAUCGCGGGGCUCAACCUCGAUCCGCCGUUGAAACUGGCAUUCGUGAGUGGGCGAGAGGUAUGCGGAAUGCGUGGUGUAGCGGUGAAAUGCGUAGAGAUCACGAAGAAGUCUGAUUGCGAAGGCAGCAUACCGGAGCCCAACUGACGCUGAAGCGCGAAAGCGUGGGUAUCGAACAGGAUUAGAUACCCGAGUAGUC
rnacentral:rRNA from 1 species